GCACCGGACUGUCAAUCAAAUUGUAAAAAUCACAAGACCGCUUAACUCUAUGGUUUUGGCUCCAAAUCGAGAAAAUGGCCGCGCCGCCAUUGAGCUUCAAAACGUGUUUUAGAGACCCACGGAGAGUCAAUGGGUGACGUCACAGUAGCUGUGUCCAUAUUUUUUACAGUCUCUGAUCUUAACCCAAUCUCUCCUGGUCAACACACUUUCCCCUUACGUCACAUCCUUACUAGGGUAGUCUUCCAACUACUCUCGGAAAGUAAUACAGUGCCUCCUAGUGGUCAGAAUACACUCAACCUGUAACAUCUAUUAUUGAACACAACAAAUUGCAUGGUAUGAAACGGGAAUGAACUAUUUUUUCUUGAUAAAAUCAUUGUUUUCAUAGAACUUACGACCAGAGAUGUUUGCUUAACAACGGUGCGACUAGAACUACAAACCAGAGUGUCUGCAUAAGGACGGUCCAAUUAGAACUACGAAGCAGAGUUUUGCUUGACAACGCUGGCUAGAGUGUCGCCGGAUUGUGCAGUACACAAGUCUUGUACAGUAUCCAGUCUUCUGGGCCAUGUAACAGUAGGAACAGAGACGAGACUAACGGCAACCAAUGAACAAGUUGAGGAUGUUUCAGUGUUG